AGCGAACGCUGGCGGCAUGCCUAACACAUGCAAGUCUGACGGGCCUGGGGCUUGCUCCGGGUCAGUGGCGGACGGGUGAGGAACGCGUAGGAACGUAUCCAAGGGUGGGGAUAACGCGGGAACUGCGGCUAAUACCGCAUGGGGCCGCGGGAGACCUGGGCCAAAGGCUGGGCAACCAGUCGCCGAUGGAGCGGCCUGCGUCCGAUUAGCUAGUUGGUGGGGUGACGGCUUACCAAGGCUACGAUCGGUAGCUGGUCUGAGAGGAUGAUCAGCCACACUGGGACUGAGACACGGCCCAGACUCCUACGGGAGGCAGCAGUGGGGAGUAUUGGACAAUGGGCGAAAGCCUGAUCCAGCAAUGCCGCGUGGGUGAAGAAGGU
rnacentral:rRNA from 1 species